rnacentral:rRNA from 1 species
GACGGAGGGUGCUAGCGUUGUUCGGAAUGACUGGGCGUAAAGGGCGCGUAGGCGGCCGCUUGCGUCGGAUGUGAAAGCCCGGGGCUCAACCCCGGAACGGCAUCCGAUACGGGGCGGCUCGAGACCGAGAGAGGUGAGUGGAAUACCCAGUGUAGAGGUGAAAUUCGUAGAUAUUGGGUGGAACACCGGUGGCGAAAGCGGCUCACUGGCUCGGUUCUGACGCUGAGGCGCGAAAGCGUGGGGAGCAGACAGG